rnacentral:rRNA from 1 species
UACGUAGGGACCAAGCGUUGCUCGGAUUUACUGGGCGUAAAGGGCGCGUAGGCGGCAAUUCAAGUCAUCUGUGAAAUCUCCGGGCUUAACUCGGAACGGUCAGAUGAUACUGCUUUGCUAGAGUACAGAAGGGGCAAUCGGAAUUCUUGGUGUAGCGGUGAAAUGCGUAGAUAUCAAGAGGAACACCGGUGGUGUAGACGGCUUUCUGGACCGUAACUGACGCUGAAACACGAAAGCGUGGGUAGCAAACAGG